rnacentral:rRNA from 1 species
AAUGAACGCUGGCGGCGUGCCUAACACAUGCAAGUCGUACGAGAAAGGGGCUUCGGCCCUGAGUAGAGUGGCGCACGGGUGAGUAACGCGUGGGUAAUCUGCCCUUGGAUUUGGAAUAACUCCGCGAAAGUGGAGCUAAUACCGGAUAGUCUGGCUUUUUUACGAAGUCGGUAAAGGAUGCCUCUGCAUAUGCAUUCGUCCGAGGAUGAGCCCGCGUCUCAUUAGCUAGUUGGUAGGGUAAUGGCCUACCAAGGCAACGAUGAGUAGCUGGUCUGAGAGGAUGAUCAGCCACACUGGAACUGAAACACGGUCCAGACUCCUACGGGAGGCAGCAGUGGGGAAUAUUGCGCAACGGGCGAAAGCCUGACGCAGCAACGCCGUGUGAGGGAUGAAGGCUUUCGGGUCGUAAACCUCUGUCAGAAGGGAAGAACGGGCAUUGGUCUAAUAGGCCUUUGUUUUGACGGUACCUUCAGAGGAAGCACCGGCUAACUCCGUGCCAGCCGCCGCCGUAA